UUUUUUAAUUGGAAACUGGAAUGAAAGGUAGUUACUAAAAAGGAAGUUUUAAUUAAUAAUUUUGAAUUUAAAUUAAAAGUAAGAAUGCUUUUAUUAAUUCUUGGGACGAGAAGACCCUAGAAGCUUUAAAAUAUAGUAUUUUUAGAUUGGGGCAAUUGUUGAAGAUAAAAAUUUUUGAAAAAUAGAUUAGUUUUAGUAAAAGUUACUCUAGGGAUAACAGCGUUAUUUAAUUAACAAGUUCUUAUUAAUAAUUAAGUUUGCGACCUCGAUGUUGAAUUAAUAUCUAAUUUUGGUGAAGAAGCUGGGAUGAAUAAGUCUGUUCGACUUUUAAAAUAUUACAUGAUCUGAGUUCAAACCGGAGA
rnacentral:rRNA from 1 species